rnacentral:snoRNA from 1 species
AUGCCAGGCAAGUGCAGGUGCUUGUGAUUCAUGACAUGCAGCUGUUUAACAAAUGGCUAUAGGACGGCCAGGGUACGAGCCCCGCCACCUCUCCGUGGUGACUGGGGUCCCAAAGAACGGCUACAUCU